UACGGAGGAUUCAAGCGUUAUCCGGAUUUAUUGGGUUUAAAGGGAACGCAGGCGGUCUUUUAAGUCUGAUGUGAAAGCCUUCGGCUUAACCGGAGUAGUGCAUUGGAAACUGGGAGACUUGAGUGCAGAAGAGGAGAGUGGAACUCCAUGUGUAGCGGUGAAAUGCGUAGAUAUAUGGAAGAACACCAGUGGCGGAGGCGGCUUACUGGACGGUAACUGACGCUGAGGCUCGAAAGCGUGGGGAGCAAACAGG
rnacentral:rRNA from 1 species